rnacentral:rRNA from 1 species
AGCGAACGUUUGCGGCGGGCUUAACACAUGCAAGUCGAACGAGAAUCCCUUCGGGGAGGAAAGUGGCGCACGGGUGCGUAACACGUGGAUAACCAACCCAUUGGUUUGGGACAACACCGGGAAACUGGUGCUAAUACCAGAUGUGUCGCAGCUGUCUUCAGGCGGUUGCGAGAAAGGCCCGCAAGGGUCGCCAACGGACGGGUCCGCGUCCCAUCAGCUAGUUGGUGAGGUAAUGGCUCACCAAGGCAAAGACGGGUAGCUGGUCUGAGAGGAUGAUCAGCCACACUGGAACUGAGACACGGUCCAGACUCCUACGGGAGGCAGCAGUGGGGAAUAUUGCGCAAUGGGCGAAAGCCUGACGCAGCCACGCCGCGUGAGUUUUUCGAUGAAGGUCUUCGGAUCGUAAAGCUCUGUGGGGGGAGAAGAAGAAAGCCGGUGAAGAGCCGGCCCUGACGGUAUCCCCUUAGCAAGCACCGGCUAACUCCGUGCCAGCAGCCGCGGUAAAGU